rnacentral:tRNA from 1 species
GUCCCUGUAGCUCAGCUGGAUAGAGCAUCUGCCUUCUAAGCAGAGGGUCGGGCGUUCGAAUCGCCCCAGGGACG